GACGAACGCUGGCGGCGUGCUUAACACAUGCAAGUCGAACGAAGUGGCGAACGGGUGAGUAACGCGUAAUCAACCUGCCCUUCAGAGGGGGACAACAGUUGGAAACGACUGCUAAUACCGCAUACUGAAGGAGGGGAUUGCGUCUGAUUUGGUAGGUGGAGGGGUAAAGGCCCACCAAGGCGAUGAUCAGUAGGCGGUCUGAGAGGAUGAACUGCUACAUUGGGACUGAGCAACGGCCCAGACUCCUACGGGAGGCAGCAGUGGGGAAGCUUUCGAAAUGGACGAAAGUCUGACGGAGCAACGCCGCGGGAGUGAGGACGGCCUUCGGGUUGUAAAGCUCUGUUAAUCGGGACGCGGUACCGGAAUAGAAAGCCACGGCUAACUACGUGCCAGCAGCCGCGGUAAUAC
rnacentral:rRNA from 1 species